rnacentral:rRNA from 1 species
UAAGCGGAGGAAAAGAAACCAACAGGGAUUGCCUUAGUAGCGGCGAGUGAAGCGGCAAAAGCUCAAAUUUGAAAUCUGGCACUUUCAGUGUCCGAGUUGUAAUUUGAAGAAGGUAUCUUUGGGUCUGGCUCUUGUCUAUGUUUCUUGGAACAGAACGUCACAGAGGGUGAGAAUCCCGUGCGAUGAGAUGACCCAGACCUAUGUAAAGUUCCUUCGAAGAGUCGAGUUGUUUGGGAAUGCAGCUCUAAGUGGGUGGUAAAUUCCAUCUAAAGCUAAAUAUUGGCGAGAGACCGAUAGCGAACAAGUACAGUGAUGGAAAGAUGAAAAGAACUUUGAAAAGAGAGUGAAAAAGUACGUGAAAUUGUUGAAAGGGAAGGGCUUGAGAUCAGACUUGGUAUUUUGUAUGUUACUCUUUCGGGGGUGGCCUCUACAGUUUACCGGGCCAGCAUCAGUUUGGGCGGUAGGAGAAUUGCAAAGAAAUGUGGCACUGCUUCGGUAGUGUGUUAUAGUCUUUGUCGAUACUGCCAGCCUAGACUGAGGACUGCGGCUUCGGCCUAGGAUGUUGGCAUAAUGAUCUUAAGUCGCCCGUCUUGAACA